rnacentral:rRNA from 1 species
AUUGAACGCUGGCGGCAGGCCUAACACAUGCAAGUCGAGCGGAGCGGCGGACGGGUGAGUAAUACCUGGGAAUCUGCCUGGUAGUGGGGGAUAACGUCCGGAAACGGGCGCUAAUACCGCAUACUAUUAGAUGAGCCUAGGUCGGAUUGGCUAGUUCGUGGGGGAAAGGCCUACCAUGGCGACGAUCCGUAACUGAUCUGAGAGGAUGAUCAGUCAAAUUGGAAUUGAGAAACGGUCCAGACUCCUACGGGAGGCAGCAGUGGGAAUGAUUGGACAAUGGGCGAAAGCCUGAUCCAGCCAUGCCGCGUGUGUGAAGAAGGUCUUCGGAUUGUAAAGCACUUUAAGUUGGGAGGCGGUACCAACAGAGUAAGCACCGGCUAACUUCGUGCCAGCAGCCGCGGUAAUAC